rnacentral:rRNA from 1 species
GAUGAACGCUGGCGGCGUGCCUAAUACAUGCAAGUCGAGCGAAUGGAUUAAGAGCUUGCUCUUAUGAAGUUAGCGGCGGACGGGUGAGUAACACGUGGGUAACCUGCCCAUAAGACUGGGAUAACUCCGGGAAACCGGGGCUAAUACCGGAUAACAUUUUGAACCGCAUGGUUCGAAAUUGAAAGGCGGCUUCGGCUGUCACUUAUGGAUGGACCCGCGUCGCAUUAGCUAGUUGGGGAGGUAACGGCUCACCGAGGCAACGAUGCGUAGCCGACCUGAGAGGGUGAUCGGCCACACUGGGACUGGAACACGGCCCAGACUCGUACGGGAGGCAGCAGUAGGGAAUCUUCCGCAAUGGACGAAAGUCUGACGGAGCAACGCCGCGUGAGUGAUGAAGGCUUUCGGGUCGUAAAACUCUGUUGUUAGGGAAGAACAAGUGCUAGUUGAAUAAGCUGGCACCUUGACGGUACCUAACCAGAAAGCCACGGCUAACUACGUGCCAGCCGCCGCGGUAA